CUCGGCAACGGAUAUCUCGGCUCUCGCAUCGAUGAAGAACGUAGCGAAAUGCGAUACUUGGUGUGAAUUGCAGAAUCCCGUGAACCAUCGAGUCUUUGAACGCAAGUUGCGCCCGAAGCCUUCGGGCCGAGGGCACGUCUGCCUGGGCGUCACGCAUCGCGUCGCCCCCCCUCCCCCCCGCUC
rnacentral:rRNA from 1 species